rnacentral:rRNA from 1 species
UACGGAGGGGGCUAGCGUUGUUCGGAAUUACUGGGCGUAAAGCGCGCGUAGGCGGCUUUGUAAGUUAGAGGUGAAAGCCCGGAGCUUAACUCCGGAACUGCCUUUAAGACUGCAUCGCUAGAAUUGUGGAGAGGUGAGUGGAAUUCCGAGUGUAGAGGUGAAUUCGUAGAUAUUCGGAGGAACACCAGUGGCGAAGGCGGCUCACUGGUCCAUUACUGACGCUGAGGUGCGAAAGCGUGGGGAGCAAACAGG